AUCAGAAACACGCCUUCCUGCGUGUUUUCCGUGGAGACAGCGAUCACUUGGACGGAACGCGAUCCGGGCGCCGGUCGUUUGACGGACCGACACCACCGUGCCCUCCACAGCCUCGGUACCGGCUCCGUGGGGCUCGGCUCGCGGUCGGUUCAGCCUCGGGGCACCUCGUCGCUCGCGUGUCGCGUGUCCUCCGCACAAAGCGAUCGAUGGAUUUCCAGAAACUUUGCACUUUCGAAACUUUCCAGCGGCUCUGGAGUCACUACGGCUACGGAGGAAACUUCCGGGACGUGAUCGAGCGGGAGUUCACGCGCAUUAAAGGAGCAGCAUAUCUGGAUCACGCAGCGGCCACUUUGUACCCGGAGUGCGUGGUCAGGGACCACUGCCAGGACAUUUCCCGGAACCUGUACGGAAACCCCCACAGCCACAGUCCCAGCAGCAGACUGACACACGACACGGUGGAGAGGGUUAGAUACAGGGUAUUGCAGCAUUUUAACACCACCCCCGAGGAGUACUGUGUGAUUUUCACUUCUGGUUGUACAGCCGCUCUCAAAUUAGUGGCUGAAAGCUUCCCCUGGAGGCGCGCGAGCCGCAGCGAGGCGGGCAGCCUCUUCUGCUACCUCACCGACAGCCACACCUCCGUGGUCGGCAUGAGGGGCCUGAGCGCGGCCCGGGGGGCGGCCGCCGUGCCCGUGUCCCCGCAGGACGUGGAGAGCAGGGCGACGGGGGCGGUUCGAGGCGACGACGCCGCUUGCCCGACGCCGCACCUCUUCUGCUACCCGGCGCAGAGCAACUUCUCCGGGCGGAAGUACCCCCUGGAGCACGUGCGGGGCAUCCGGGCGCGGCGCCUCCACCCGGCGUGCGCCCACCGCGGCCGCUGGUUCGUGCUGCUGGACGCUGCCUCCCACGUCGGCUGUUCCCCGCUGGACCUGCGCGAGUGCCCCGCCGACUUCGUGGCCGUCUCCUUCUAUAAGAUGCUCGGCUUCCCCACGGGGCUGGGCGCCCUGCUCGUGCGUAACGACGCAGCGGGCGUCCUGGCGAAGGCCUACUUCGGAGGGGGCACGGCGGCAGCGUACCUCUCCGCGGAAGAUUAUUACGUGCCGGCGGCAAACGUUUCUGACAGAUACGAGGAUGGGACGGUAUCUUUCCUGGACAUUAUAGCCCUGAACCACAGUUUCGACGCUCUUUACCGGAUCACAGGGAACAUGCACAACAUCCAGCAGCACACGUUCGGCUUGGCACGCUACACUUACAUGCUGCUGUCAAGUCUUUGCCAUGGCAACGGGCGACCGGUGGCUCAGAUAUACUCCGAAGGCCGGUUUGAGAGUCCGAGCACACAGGGUCCAAUCUUAAACUUCAACCUCAUGGAUUCUAACGGCCAGAUAAUUGGAUAUUCUCAGGUGGACAGAAUGGCCAGUCUGUACAACAUUCACAUUCGUACCGGCUGCUUCUGCAACACUGGGGCCUGCCAGUCCUUCCUUGGGAUCACAGACCAGCAGAUGAAGAGAAACCUGCAGGCUGGUCACGUCUGCGGCGACAGCGUGGACCUGGUGGACGGACAGCCGACCGGGUCCGUCCGCGUGUCCUUCGGCUACAUGUCCACGUUCGAGGACUGUCAGAAGUUCCUGCACUUUGUGGCCGAGUGCUUUGCGGAGAAACCGGUCACCGUGGACCCAGCGAGACUGGAGGGGGUGAGGGCGGUCACAGCAGCGGCCCAGAGUCCGACGGAGGUUCCUAACGGAGAAAUAAAGAGAGUGGACGAAAACGGAAACCGGGGAGAAGCGUCACCGGAGGGACUGGACUCAAACAGCCGCAGAGAGGCUCACACUCUCACCAACAUCUACAUCUAUCCCAUCAAAUCAUGUGGAGCGUUUGAGGUCCGCGACUGGCCGGUGGGGCCACUGGGUUUACUGUAUGACAGAGGCUGGAUGGUGGUGAAUGGAAACGGCGUGUGCCUGAGUCAGAAGCGGGAGGCGCGCUUGUGUCUCGUUCGCCCACGCGUCCACCCGCCCUCCAACAAAUUGCUCCUGCAGGCGCCAGGGAUGGAUAGCAUUUCAGUUCCCUUGGAAAACAGCCGUCAAGUGCACACACGCCAUCAGGUGUGUCAGAGCAAAGUUUGCAGUGACAGGGUGGAGACGGUGGACUGCGGGGAUGAGGCUGCGCGGUGGCUCUCGGAGUUCCUCGGACAGCCGUGCCGCCUGAUAAGACAGAGUCCUGAUUCCACCCGAGACGCCAAGAAGGGGCCUGUCGGAGGUAUCUGUCAGGCUUUCUGCCUGUUGCUGUUGACAGACAAUCGAGGGAGCAAAUACAGCCGUGGGGCGGAAAACGCACACGGCUGCUGCCAUAGAACGUUGGCUUUUAAGCGCGUUCCCGCUCGCUGGAAGUGAAGCAUCCUGCUUGAAAACACAGGCAACCUGACAUAAACAAUGCGUUGAAAACAGCCUUAUGUGUGUAAGAUCCCUCCAACCAAGGGUGUCAGUGUAGAGUUACAUAUUGAUGCCCCGCACGGGCUCAGGACGCGACAAACGACUUGUGUUUGAUUUGUCUGCCUGUAAAUUGACACCUUUGCCAAUCAAAUCCAAUCAGGCGCCUCCAUCGUCCGUCACCGAUUCCCAAAUUGAAACUCUAAAAGCAGCUUAAUCUCGCAGCCUUGGUGGAACUCAAUAAAACCCCUCUGCUCUGCCGGAGUAACGAUGCGAAAACGAAGGCGCCGAGCACUUUUCAUAAACGCUUCUUUGAGCCUGUUACGGUUCUAACCUCACAUAUAAAUAAUAAAGAUGGCAACAGCGGAGGCAAACGUAAUUAAUCCGCUGGAAAAUGGAGAAUAAGAACAUUUGACCGAACCCGCAGACAUUUUGCGACACGCAUCACUCCGCUCCGCGCUCGGGGGCCGAGCUGCAGCUGCCGACGAGGAGGCAACGAGUGCAAUGAGAUCACGCGCGCACGUACGCGUCACCUGAAGGCACCGCCACAUGUCACCGAGCCGCCGCCGGCGUCGCAGCGGCUCCGUUUGUUGGAAACCGGGUGAAUGUUUACACAAAAGGACUUGCAUCCCCUCCAUCAGCACCCCCACAGCCAUCCUGCACGCUGCACUUGUUUUGUUGACUCGGGAACAUCCAGUCCACCAGGUUUGUUUGUCAUCUGGUUCCUUCCUCGCUGCUGUUUGUGGUGUUGGAGGUAGAGGAGCUGAACAGGCAAAGAGACUGAAACAUUUGGCGAGGGAUUCAUUCAGAUCAACAAGUAUGUGUAUUUCACCCACUUGGAGCUGGAUCCAGGACUGAACCCGCAGCUUGGACCUGGUGGACAGACGGGACUGUGUGUCCUGUGUGCUCUUUGGCCAAAAUUCAAAUUACCCCGGACUUUGUAGUGAGGUUAAAGUGGGAAAUGGUUCUUUGAGACAGGAGCUCAGACACGAGGCUUUUUUUUUUGAGGAUGCUUGUUGCUCAAACCACAGAUCAGUACAUUUUUCUGUAAUGGGAUGAAUUCACCGGGGUAAUAUAAAGUCUUUUCUUUCUAGCUGCCACCUCCACGUUCCUCUCCCUGGUGAACGAGGCUCAGUAUCUCAUGAUCAACCGCGCCAGCGUGGAGCUCAUUCAGAAAUUAAUGAGCAGCAGGCAGGACUAUUCUGAGGGUGAUCAGCUCCUUGACACACAGAAUGUCAUUAGU